CGAUACUNUCGGGUGACGUACCNCCGNNAGCCCNNNNNNUACGUGCCAGCAGCGCGUAUACGUAGGGGGCGAGCGUUGCUCGGAUUUACUGGGCGUAAAGAGCGCGUAGGCGGCCAGGGAAGUCUGGUGUGAAAUCCCUCGGCUCAACCGAGGACCCGCAUUGGAAACUCCCUGGCUUGAGUCCAGGAGGGGAGGGUGGAAUUCCCGGUGUAGCGGUGAAAUGCGUAGAGAUCGGGAGGAACACCUGUGGCGAAGGCGGCCCUCUGGAAUGGUACUGACGCUGAGGCGCGAAAGCUGGGGGAGCAAACGGGAUUAGAUACCCCGGUAGUCCCAGCCGUAAACGAUGGGCGCUAGGUGUGGGAGGUAUUGAUCCCUUCCGUGCCGCAGCUAACGCAUUAAGCGCCCCGCCUGGGGAGUACGACCGCAAGGUUGAAACUCAAAGGAAUUGACGGGGGCCCGCACAAGCGGUGGAGCAUGUGGUUUAAUUCGACGCAACGCGAAGAACCUUACCAGGGCUUGACAUCCCCGGAACUCCUCCGAAAGGAGGGGGUGCCCGCAAGGGAGCCGGGAGACAGGUGGUGCAUGGCCGUCGUCAGCUCGUGUCGUGAGAUGUUGGGUUAAGUCCCGCAACGAGCGCAACCCUCAUCCUCUGUUGCCAUCGGGUUAUGCCGGGCACUCUGAGGGAACUGCCCCGGUCAACGGGGAGGAAGGCGGGGACGACGUCAAGUCAUCAUGCCCCUUACGCCCUGGGCUACACACGUGCUACAAUGGCCGGUACAGAGGGCUGCAAACCCGCGAGGGGGAGCCAAUCCCACAAAGCCGGUCUAAGUUCGGAUUGCAGGCUGCAACUCGCCUGCAUGAAGGAGGAAUCGCUAGUAAUCGCGCAUCAGCACGGCGCGGUGAAUACGUUCCCGGGCCUUGUACACACCGCCCGUCACACCACGAAAGCUGGCUGUACUCAAAGUCGCUGAGCUAACCCGCAAGGGAGGCAAGCGCCAAAGGUAUGGUCGGUGAUUGGGGUGAAGUCGUAACAAGGUAGC
rnacentral:rRNA from 1 species